rnacentral:rRNA from 1 species
AUUGAACGCUGGCGGCAUGCUUUACACAUGCAAGUCGAACGGUAACAGGGCCUUCGGGCGCUGACGAGUGGCGAACGGGUGAGUAAUGCAUCGGAACGUGCCCAGAGUGGGGGAUAACGCAGCGAAAGCUGUGCUAAUACCGCAUAUUAUCUGAGGAUGAAAGCGGGGGGACUAAGCAGCAAUGUUUGGCCUCGCGCCUUUGGAGCGGCCGAUGUCAGAUUAGGUAGUUGGUGGGGUAAAGGCCUACCAAGCCAACGAUCUGUAGCUGGUCUGAGAGGACGACCAGCCACACUGGAACUGAGACACGGUCCAGACUCCUACGGGAGGCAGCAGUGGGGAAUUUUCCGCAAUGGGCGAAAGCCUGACGGAGCAAUACCGCGUGAGGGAAGAAUGCCUAUGGGUUGUAAACCUCUUUUUUCAGGGAGGAAUAAAAUGACGUGUACCUGAAGAAUAAGCAUCGGCUAACUCCGUG